AAAGAUAUCUGUUCUGUCUGGCUGAGAAUUCUCUGCUCAGAUUCAGUGAGGAAGUGAUAAAAAAGAUGAAGACAUCCUCUAAAUAUUUCUGCUCACCUACUUUCUUCAAGUCACAUCAUUCACUAGUGACUUAGGCUGGUGAGAUGUAAAGGUUUCCUGGGGAAAAGAGUCCAUGAAGAAGUGUGUAUGUAAUGGCGAAGUAAAGAUAAUUUCUGAAAUGUCAUCUGUUUUCACCUUCCAGGCUGCCUUGUGUGCGCUUGUUAUUCUUGAAGCUCACAGUGACGUGACAACAAUAGACAAGAGAGUGUGUGACUCCGUUAUUUUUGAUCUUGACUGUCCCCGGUUGGACCAGCUCUCUCAGAUCACUUGGUACAAGGGAAAUAUGUCCUUAAAGCACUGGACACGUGGCGACACAGUGGUCAGCCAACGGAUUCACGUCUUUCCUAAUGGGGCGUUAGGGAUUCGCAGUGUAGGGAUUUUUUUUGGUGUGCAACAGCUCUGAGCACCUCCUUUACCAAAGAAUAUUUCAGCUACGUGUACACGCAGAGCACCUUGUCAGAAGACUUGUCGGUGACUGCUUUACUUUUGACCUGAACUGCCUGCUGCCAGACAGGUACAUCCAUAUCACCUGGAAGAAAGAUGAGCAGCGAGUGGCCAGGAUGAGAGGGCAGAGAAUAAACGUUUCUGUGAACUACCGCAACAGAGCCCGUGCGUUCCCGAACGGCAGCCUGACUCUGUGCCCCAUGCAAUGGGAGGACAAGGGCAAGUAUGUGGCGGAAAUAUUUGAUCAGGAUGGUGUGCAUUUGCAACAUGAAAUUAUUAACCUGGAACUGAACAAAAUGGAAACGUUUAAAGAAACCACAGAAUUUAUUGGUGGAUCCAUGUUCUUGAGCUUAACAGAGAUGAAGUUGAGACACUUCCAGGCAGUCUGGAAAAAAGAAAACACAGAAAUCGCUCGGAAAAAUGGCUUUCAUUUUUGGUACCAUGAGGACUACGUUAAGAGGUCUGAGAUCGUGUCUGAUUACAGUCUCAGACUAGACAGGAUUCAGGAAAGUGACCAUAGCAAUUAUUCUAUAGAAGUGAGUGACAGAGAUGGGAGAACAUUAUAUAAAAGCACCAUUCGUGUGAAAGUUGAGCAAAAGGAGACAUCCAGAAGAAAUUAUGUUCAAUUACUGUUCUACAGUCUCAUAACAUCACAGGCAGUUGUAAUUAUUAUUAUCUUGGUUGGGCUGAUAUGGCAUUUUAAGAAGUACAAAGACAAGUCAGUGUGGAUAAGAGUGUCAAGCUUUCGGCAUGUGAGUUCAAGCCUAACAGAGAGAGAUAAUCCUGAGAAACUUGAAGAAAUGGAUAAAAACAGUCCUUGUUCACAAAAUGAUGAAAACUCUAGUGUGCAGGGACUAGACGGUACAAACUCCACGGAGCAAAGAAGUGAAGGUUUACUGAGCAGCGACAAAGAGGCUAACCCAGCAAUAGCUGAAAGCUCCUACGCUCAGCAGACUACAUAUUUUCUUGCGUCCACAUUUCAAGAUGGAGAAAGACUCAAAUUGCCAGACCUCAAUAGUAUGAAAGCUGGAGAGCCUCCUGCUUCAGUUGGUGAAGUGUGUGUUGCCUCAGACUUUGAGAACAGCCCUCCAGGAUCUGAGGACAGCAUUCUUCCAGAAUUUGAUCACCCUCUUCCCCCAAUGUCUGAUGGGUGCCUUUCUCCAGAAUUUGAUCACUGCAGUCCUCCAGGGUCUGAGGAUUUGAAGGAAGAUGACUAUGUUGCUAUGCAUGAUAUAGUCUUUGUCUCUGCAGGAGCUGGAAAGGCACGGAAAUGGAGUGAAGAUGAGUUUACCUCGUAUGCUUCUGUCAAGUAGAAUGCAAAGGGACUUCCAGACGAUGAGUCUGGAGACUCAGUCUUCAGUUCUUCCCAUUCGAUUUGCCAGGAAAGACAUCUGCAGCAUUGAACUGAAAUUUGGACUCUCUCUUUCUCUCUUAGCAGGUUUUGAGCCAACCUUGAAAUUCUGCUGUUAGUUUCUCAUUUGGGUAAAUCUGAUUCUUUGUUCACUUUGAAGAUUUGGCUGGAAGCCUGAAGGGAAAUCUCUCUGUGGAUCAGUUUGUUUUCCACAGCGGGUGCCUAUCUCUUCCCUUUGUUUUGCUGAAGGUCUUCCAGGAUGACCCAUUAGGAGCCCCUUGGAAAGCAGGGGUGGGGGGGAAGGAAUUAUCCAGAGCCUCUCUUAUUUGCUUCCACUAGGAGGUGUCAUUGUAGAAAAGAGAAGGGCCUCGUGGAUUUCUGGAGGCCAGAUCAGGGCCCUGACCUCCAUCCUUGUCUCCUCCAGUGUGGAGGAUGCACCUGAGUGAAUGGUCAGGGGAAUAGCGCCAACACCACAGCAUCUCUGUGGACAUGGGCAUUUUAACCCUUUGUCUAAUACCUCAUGUCAAGAAAGCUGCAACUGAACUUGGUAGAUUUAGCAUAAAUUUCCCUCUGCUGUUUGGUUAGAAUAAUGUGCCACUUAGGUGGAAGUCAGCUGAAACUAUAUUAUGAGAAGGGAAUGGCACUGAAGAACAUGCAGCAGGUUUUACUUAGGGAUCUGCUAUUUUAGAAGAGGAAAAGGAAAAGGAAAGGAAAGAAACUAGAGCAUUGCUAGCAAAUGGGUUUAGCCGUAUAUGUAAUUGCCUUUAAUGAAUAGCCUUGGUAAUUAGAUGCAUUUUCUGCAAUGCCUGUAUUAAACUUAGUUAUCUUAACUGGUGUGUAAUUGUCUUCAUAGAUUGCUUUUAAAUCUUACAGAUUGCUUCUUUUAGGUUUGAUGAGCUAAUUUUUCGUAUAGAAUGUUGAAUAAAAGUAUUUUUUCUUAUUACUGAAAAGGUAUU
rnacentral:lncRNA from 1 species